CUGAACCAGCCAAGUAGCGUGAAGGAUGAAGGUCCUACGGAUUGUAAACUUCUUUUAUACGGGAAUAAAGUAUCCUACGUGUAGGAUUUUGUAUGUACCGUAUGAAUAAGCAUCGGCUAACUCCGUGCCAGCAGCCGCGGUAAUACAGAGGAUGCGAGCGUUAUCCGGAUUUAUUGGGUUUAAAGGGAGCGUAGAUGGAUGUUUAAGUCAGUUGUGAAAGUUUGCGG
rnacentral:rRNA from 1 species